AAACUACGAAAGGAAUUGACGGGGCCCGCACAAGCAGUGGAGUAUGUGGUUUAAUUCGACGCAACGCGAAGAACCUUACCAGGAUUUGACAUCCUCUGACCGCCCUGGAGACAGGGCUUCCCUUCGGGGCAGAGAGACAGGUGGUGCAUGGUUGUCGUCAGCUCGUGUCGUGAGAUGUUGGGUUAAGUCCCGCAACGAGCGCAACCCUUGUCAUUAGUUGCCAUCAUUUGGUUGGGCACUCUAAUGAGACUGCCGGUGACAAACCGGAGGAAGGUGGGGAUGACGUCAAGUCCUCAUGGCCCUUAUGGGUAGGGCUUCACACGUCAUACAAUGGUCGGUACAGAGGGUUGCCAAGCCGCGAGGUGGAGCCAAUCCCUUAAAGCCGAUCGUAGUCCGGAUCGUAGUCUGCAACUCGACUACGUGAAGUCGGAAUCGCUAGUAAUCGCGGAUCAGCAUGUCGCGGUGAAUACGUUCCCGGGUCUU
rnacentral:rRNA from 1 species